rnacentral:rRNA from 1 species
GACGAAGGGUGCGAGCGUUAAUCGGAAUUACUGGGCGUAAAGCGUGCGCAGGCGGCUCUGCAAGACAGAUGUGAAAUCCCCGGGCUCAACCGGGGAACUGCAUUUGUGACUGCAAGGCUAGAGUGCGGCAGAGGGGGAUGGAAUUCCGCGUGUAGCAGUGAAAUGCGUUGAUAUGCGGAGGAACACCAAUGGCGAAGGCAAGCCCCUGGGCCUGUACUGACGCUGAUGCACGAAAGCGUGGGGAGCAAACAGG